rnacentral:rRNA from 1 species
GACGAACGCUGGCGGCGUGCUUAACACAUGCAAGUCGAACGGAAAGGCCCUGCUUGCAGGGUGCUCGAGUGGCGAACGGGUGAGUAACACGUGGGUGAUCUGCCCCUUAUUUUGGGAUAAGCCUGGGAAACUGGGUCUAAUACUGGAUAGGACCAUGCUGUAGGUGGUGUGGUGGAAAGAUUAGUUUCGGUAAGGGAUGAGCUCGCGGCCUAUCAGCUUGUUGGUGGGGUAAUGGCCUACCAAGGCGUCGACGGGUAGCCGGCCUGAGAGGGUGGACGGCCACAUUGGGACUGAGAUACGGCCCAGACGCCUACGGGAGGCAGCAGUGGGGAAUAUUGCACAAUGGGCGCAAGCCUGAUGCAGCGACGCCGCGUGGGGGAUGACGGCCUUCGGGUUGUAAACUCCUUUCAGUCAUGACGAAGCCCUUGUGGUGACGGUAGUGGUAGAAGAAGCACCGGCUAACUACGUG